AAUUCAUCAAUUGAAUCUAACACCCUAACAUAAUAAUAACUAUUCAAUAUAAAUAUAUAUUUCAUAAUCAACAUAUCAACAACAAUGGUAUUUACAACCAACAACAAUGACUCAUGCAACUACUCGACAACACCACUAAGACUCCUCGACAAUACAACGAUACGACAAUGCAUGUGGUACCAAUUUACAGGGCAGUAGCCCUCACCGGAUAUUGAAU
rnacentral:lncRNA from 1 species